GCUGCGCCACCUGGAAAACAUCUUCGCUCUGUUUCGGGCCAGCCAAAGCCGUCUCCAGAAGAGCACCUCCGAUGCUGUCUGGGAAGUUUAGAACUGUGGGAGCGACGGUACAGGGCCAGAAGAGAGUCCCCGUAGCGCAUCCCGGGCGGGGACACGAGCACAUGCGUGUGGCCCCAGCCAGAAACUGCACUGAACCCACAGUACCGGUGAUUUCUGUCUUUAGCCGCUUGUAUCGUUGUGUUUAACAGCAUUUGGUGGGGGUUUUCUUCCACUAUUGCUUUUUGCUGUUUGCUUGCUCUCUAGGCUAUGCCUCCAAAGGCCAGUAUUACAAGUGAAUAUUCAUUCCUUUACAUCCUUUGCAGCUUACAGACCCGUGCUGUGUUCUCCCUUGUCACCUCCUUUCUAGGAGGAGAGCUUCAGUGUGUCUAGUGGUCCACUGCCUGGAAGCUGAUCCAUCCCUUUGGUGGCCUUUGUACCUUUUCUAGCUCCACUGUAUCUGCCCGAGACAGCAGGGCUGAAGCAGAUGUGAUAUUUGAGAUGGAUUUAUAGGGAGGCUCUGCUUUGUUUUCUGUUCCUCUCCUAAUAAUUCUUAACAUUCCUGUUGCUUUUUAACCCAGAAUAGCCACUUGGAGUAGGAAAUGGUAAAGGCACAUUUAUAUUGGUUUAAUGAAACAGCUUCCCAAGAAACAUUUUCUGAAGGAGCUGGUCUCACAGCCCAUGUAUUGGUGGUAGAGAGGACGCCUGGAAAGGCUGGCUGCAAGAGGACAUGCCCAAGGGUCCGACUUUCCCAUCUAAGCACUAGCACUGACUUUAGGUAUUUUCUUAGCUGUUCAUGGCAUGGCUUUUUUGCUGCUAAAAGCUACCUUUAAUGAGCUUAACAGAUAGGGGGUAAAAGGCCAGUUUUCCCUGUGAAUUUUCCCGUGUGUCAGUUCUUGCCAAUUUUAGUGUCGUAUGACCAGGAGGAAAUGCGCAUCAGUUUACUCCCCAGUAUUUUGGGGCACAUAUAUUGCCAAGCUAGCACAGGGCAGGGUCCCAAAGUGGUGCCCCAGGAGCAGCAUGGCAGUAGGGGUCUCAAGAAUAAAAAUGUGUGGUUUGGAGCAGACCUGUUGGUCAAAUCCAUCCUGGUAACAAAGCAGCAGUCAAGGCAUCGCACUCGGGGUCUGGCAGUCUCUCCCACAUUGCAUGGGGGUCCUUGUGCUGGCAUUUGUCAGACUGGCUGCAAAACGGAGUCAGGCAGGACAUGAACUUGCUGCCCGGACUGGAAGGUGCAGGGGGAAGCAUUGGUGGAGGUGGAGCCUGCAGUCAGCAGCAGGGCUUGUUAUUUUUUAGGGGUUCUUGGAGGGAUUCAGACAGCCAGAAACCACAGGCAAAAUAUUUAAAGAGAAACGUGAGAUCCAAAGAGCAUCUUGAGCACUGCAGUGCCCUCAGGGGCUGGCAUAAACUGAGCUACAAGAAGAGCAUUUGCCAGGCAGCAACCCAGUAGAAAAGAGAGUCACAACAAACCGGGAAAAGACACACAAACCCCUAGACUGAAAUGUGAGGGGUGCCCCAAACUGGACCCCAGAGAGCAAAACAACCUGGAGGGGCAAAACAGCCUGUGGAAGGUCAAAUGGUAUUUUAUCAACUAACUUAUUUCCAGACAUCUCAUAUCAAUUCUGAACAAACCAGCAUGCUACCCCAGCACAGCGCCGGGUGAGAAAGGGAUGUAGGAAAGUGCUAUAAACCUGAACGAUUUACCGCAACUUUCUAGAGGACCAGAAAACUAACAGCGUCCACCCAGACAGCACUGGGCAAUCCCAGCCCCUCCAGCUGAGGUGUUGCAAUGGGCAGGAUGCCCUGCUUUCACUGCUAGCCCUGCUCCAAGCCAGCAUUAAUUUAGUCAGGAACCUAUGCUCUGCACUAGGUGCAGAAACUUGGCUCUGCUUUGUACCCUGGAAAAGGGGUAGCUUCUUCCAGAGUUCAGCUAAUGGGCCUUUAACUUCCAUUUGCAAGACAGAGUUAUUUUUCCCAAUUGCAAGUUUAAUUUGCUGAAGUCUUACUCUUCAUCUGCAUCAACUCUGACCACUUUUAUAGGCAACAUAAAGUGAUAAAAUGUGGAGGCAAGAGGAACAGAAAAAUCAGAUUUGGGCUUUAUCCACUCAAGAUCAGAAGUAUAGGAUUUAGUAUUAAGCCAUGUCCUAAAGCAGAUCCUUCCUAGCUAUGUCAGGACUGCUGCCAGCCCUCAUGAUUUCACUGAAAGUCCUGUGAUGUUUAAUGCUGCAGUUAAAACCCCAGUUCCUGGAGGCAGGUCAGGAGGUGAAAAUCUCAGCUUCCCUGUAUUAAAAAGUCAAUUUGCAAUGCUGUGGCUGUGCGGGGAAGACCGUGACUUGAGAUUAACUUCAAAGCUCCCCAGAUGCCAAAAACACAAGGAACCUCUUAAUUAUUUUUUCUGGAAUGUCAUGUUUCUAAGUCAACCUCAUGACGUUUGGAGCUUGACUCAUGACUGAAACGCUCAGAGCACACUGAUGGGCCAGAAUUAAUCCACAGACAUGUCUCAUUGUGAGUGGGAAUCUCUGUGCCACCGCCACCAUUUGGAGACCUUUGUGCCCGCAUCAGCCGUUGUGGCAGCACUUUGUUGCACUGUGGUAAUAGCUACAGCUUGUUGCAAAAGCACAUAUGUCUGAGAAACAUGAGAUUUGCUCUUUCCGUAGGUGAAGGCUGGAGAAGAGGAUGUUCAUCUCUAAAUCGCACCAGGCUGCACCUAUUAACCCUCCUCUUGCAGGGCUCCAGAAGGAAGAUGACAGGGUGAGGCUUCCCACCCUGUGCCCUCAGAUGGCAAUGGCACUGUCACUCUCCAGCCCCUGGAGGCUGAGGAUGUCCCUGUCCCUGGCCGUGGAUUGAGGAGGUGUACCAUGGGGUGAAGAUGGAGUGUGGAUACUGGCAGGACCCUGGCUGGGGUGGGAAGUGAAACCAAGCACCGAAGAGGAAGGGAGGCUGCUUUAUGUUGCCUGUGAGUUUAUUUGCAGCUGGUAAUGUCUCCCCCAGCUGCUCCAGGAGCAGAGCUUCUUGUCAUUCUUGUCAGGAGCAUUCAUAAACCUCAUGGAGCCUACUAUGUUAUUAGCAAUGCCAGGAACAGGUGAAGCUCUGCACAUAUUUUGUCCUCCCAGUGACUGUCAUUGGAGAAAUAAGGGGCUGCCAGAGCCAAGGAGUCUGGCAACCCACAGGCACCCACAGGACCUGAGGCAGGCAGGCUCUCCCUCCGCUUCUGCUGCGGGGCAUCCAACACCGCCUACUCUGAAGACCCUUCCUAGCUUCCAGCCAAAAUGAGUCCGUGGCCAUCUCAGCCUGUUCCUGAGUCAGCCUUAUCCCCUGCUGAAAUGGCUUUCCCCUCCCCACUGUCCUGUGUCCCCUCAGGAGUAUACAUAGGCAGAAGUCCCUUCCCGGCCUGCAUUUUGCUGAGCACUUUCAGUUGUCUCUUUCAGCACAGUUGUCCCAGCCCUAUUAAAAGCCCCUCUCAAAGCCCACAAAUGGAAAAUUCCCAAUCCUAACAUCCUGUUCUCAAACACACGGUAGCUGAGUAAGUUGUCUUAAGUAUGAGAUAUGAGGAAGGCUAUAGCUGUAGGUGGACAGUCCUUCAGUUUCUGAAUUUUUCGUAGCUUCAUGCAAAAAACCCACCCCAUGGAUGCUCUGGCAGAGCACCGAGAGCUUAACUCACGGAGCGGCGCUCCCGCUGCCAUACGUGAGCCUCACAUCUCUUCUGUGUCAUACCACGGAGCACGGCUCUGCUGGGGAGCACAACCACAUAAUACUACCAGUUGAGAGAGCAAUAUUUAAUACCAGCCACUUUUGCACCACACUAAGUAAGCCUUGCUAAGGAGGUAUCUGCAGGAGCUCCUGGGUUUCACCCUUCCCCUGGGCCUGCAGAGAGCACAAAUCCUAAAUUCAGAUUUUCCCCCUGCCCUAGACCCAGCACAAUGAUUCAUCUGUGCAUUUGCUUAAAGGAUUUCACUGUCAACCAAUCCAAGGUUUCUUUGAUGACCACAGUUAAUUUUGGUAUGCAGAAAAUGCUUGGGUGAAGACAGGAAUCUAGCUGCACUUUCAGUGUCUGCAAGCUGCCUGCUAUAUAUUAACAACUGACUAAACAGCUCUCGCCGGUUGAGUCCCAGUUUCCAUCACUAUAGUUUUGUAGUUACAACACUUCUGCAAUAUGGAAAAUAAUUUGUGAAAAACCUCACCUGAGGAAGGACUGGGCCGAAACAUCCUUAGAGGUCUGGGUCUUCUCUAAUAACUGUGGGUAUGCAGGAGCCUGUGGGUUUCUUUGCCCACAUAGACUCAGGCUGGGGAAGAAAAUAUAGUCUGAUGUGCAACAAGCCUUGGCUGUAGGGUAUGUGGCAUGGCUGAAGGUUUUCUCCCUGUACGAAAGACUGAGGUCAAAUAUCUUUAUUUGCAUAUUAGUGGUGAUGGAAGUUGCUUGUAUGCAAUGAAGAGAGAGCACAGUCCCAACUGCUAGAGACUAGAACAAGACUGAUUUACUUUUUUUUUGCAUAAGCCUAUAAAUUGUCCAGAACUCGCUCCUUUUUCUGAGAAACUGCUAUCAUCUGCAAAAAAUUUUACUAACUCCACCUCAGCAUGAGAAUGGUGCAGAGGAGGCAGAUUCCUCAGGAAUCUUGGUUCCUGGAGAAAAAAAAACAACAGCCUUUUAAGAGUUCACCAGCUCUACACAAGAGGAAAAACCAUACGUUUGUUCCCCUGUUUGAUUGUGAUGAAAAGGGAAAGGACCAUCAGGGAAGUACCUCAGCAUCAAACAGCUGAGAAGGGUCGGGGGAGAUGGAGAGACUGCAAGAGGAAGCAAAAAGAAUAAAAAGCCCUGUGGAAACUGCAGAGAUCUCUUUUGCUCAAGGAGGGACCCUCCAGCUGCUUGCACAAAGCUCCCCUCUGUUGCCUAUCUGUGCUCCCUGAUCAUCUUCUCCAAGGCUAGGAAACACUGGCAGCAGGAAGGAAGCUGGUGAGACGGAGGCAUUUUGCACCCCACCACAGCCAUGAAAUGCUGGCGGGUGCAUCUAAGCGUUAGCAAGUGCCAAAGAUACCCUUUUUUCCAGGGUCUCCUUGGGCAGGGGGUCCCUAGCACUGCCCAGGGAUUUGGAUGACCAGCGCCCUGCUUGCUGCAGCUUGUGGCUGCAAUCCCUGCUAAGCAACCCGAGUGGGGAAAAAAGGAGCGUUUUGGCUUGUUAUGUUUCUACAGCAAUCCAAAAACACACCAACAGCCCCAGGUAUGGCUAUGCUGGUCUGAUUCUGGAGUUGACCUGGAUUUACUGACGGACAUGCAGAGCCUCGUUGGGUGCAAUGGAUCAAAUGUUGCAUUUAGAAGCACUUUGAUUCAUGCUAUUAAAUGUGCCUGGUCACAAAUCUAUGACGCAAAUGAACACCACAGCACUUCUGGAAGGAAAAGGGACUUUUGUGUACUGCAUACAAGAUGUUCUGGUGAUGUGUUUAUAUCAGCUUCAGCAGUGUUCAUGAAAACAGACAAUAACUGCAGCACUUUUAAAGCAGGGCGAUAACAGCAUAUAGCCACAAACAGAAUGUGAAAAUGCAGUUUCAAUGGAAAUAGCAAUUUCCAUACUGCACCUAGCUUUAAUGCAAGGUUUUAUCUUCUAAUUAGGUCCCUGAUCACAUCUUUCUACGUGUGGUUGUCUUUGCUUGAAAAUAGGCUAGGUGAUACAGAUCAUAUGUAUUUAGAGAAGUGCAUUUUUGUAUCCAUUUCAAAUUACAGGCUGGUUCUCUGCUGAGGUGCUCUCUUACUAUGGCCAGCCACAAAAUAUUCAAAAAGUCAUGAAUUGAGGGCGAACUGGUAUACUGAUGGGGUAGGUAGGAUUUCUCCAGGCAGUCAUGCAGAGCCUAGGCAGGGCUAGAGCAGAGUUUUUCCUCUCUCUGAGCCAUCCUGCCACAGCUUGUGUUAGAAAUGAGCUCUGCACAGACCAUGGCACGCACACAGACCAUAGCGCAGGCAGCUGCUGGCCACACUUCGUCUCCUUUAAACUAGCUUCCCACCUUCUCCUUUGCUCUCGAUCUGUCCCCAUGUAUGCUGUGAAGACCAUGACCUCUUUAGCUGCUUUGCAGCAACUCCUCCGUCUGGGCAGAGUGCAGUCCCUGCUCCGGCACAGUGCUUGCUGUUUCCUGGCAAAGGCAGAAUCAAGCUCAUAAUAUAAAAGCACCUGUGGCUGCUGCCCACCCUGGACUUGUCAGGCCCAUGGUCCAGCAGCCUGACUGCUGCCACGGAGGCCUUUACUGUACUGGAGCUGCCAGAGCCCAGCUCCAUCCCCGAUCCAUGUGCAGAAAACCCUUGCAGAAGUCUCAAGUCCAGCACUCUCUCCAUCUAACCAGAAAUCUUUGGUAUAUUUACCUGAGUGCUGAUUUAUAGCUGGGUAAUUUCCUGCUCAUCUGGGCUACUGAGGACUUUGUCUACCUCAGGACCAGGGGCAGAUCCUCUGUUAUCUCAGCUGCUGGCAUCCUGCUCUGCUCAGCCACGCACGUUGGCAACCUCCAACCACCACAGAAAGCUGGAGGGAAGUAGAGCUGAGAAAGAGCCCGGAGCUGCUAGAAGCCAGCUCAUAGUCAUUCAUGAUUCCCAAAGAUGUUUCCAUCAGAGACAGUCGGCUGGGUGAUGGAAGGGCUGUGGGAGGUUACUGCAUCCCAGACCUACACCACUUGAUAACUUGCAAUAAACUGCCAACAAAAUAGUAUUUUUCCUUGAAUGCUGUCACGUGGGUCUCUAGCAGCAGCUAAAGCAGCUGUCAUCUACAUAUAAAAUCCUGACAGAUGACAGUUAGAACCAGGAGAGGGAAUUCUGGAUUUCAUUCAAAUAUUAAAACUGGUCAUUUUGGUGGCAAAGAUGGACAAAUUACUUUUUCAGCUGUUCAGGUGAACCUUCCCCUAUCUCUUAAGGAGAACCAGAAAUGUUUUCAUGAAAAUGCUGUGUUUCAUCAAGAAGCUGUCACUGCUGUGAAUACAGGAGGUAAACAUAUUUACAGGGGUUAUUUAUUACAUACCAGUGUCCUGACAAGAUAGGGGAUAUUCAGCCUUUUUUCCAGGUUCUUUUGUAUACAUUAAAUCAAGUCCUAGAACCACGCAACAAUUUAUGGGCUCCUUUCCACAUCGUAUCAGUCUCUGCAGGUGCCAUUAUAACAGGUCUCCCUUCCAAGAGCUGCUAUUGUCUGUACCUGUCUGUCCUCUCCUUCCUGACAGCUGCUGGGAACUGUAAGCUGUAACUCUGCAUGUGGUGAAGGAAAAUCUUUAAAAGCUUUUCAAAGAAUAUUCAGCAAAUUAUAGGAGUUAACAUGAUUUGUAUGCCAGGGUCAGAUGGGCUGAAAGAGGCCCUGCUUGGAGGUGCUGCAUCAUUUUGCAGUAGCAAUUAAUUUCAUCCUGCCCAAACUUGGAUGAACAUCUUGGGUAGUGUAAAAAUGAUAAAAGAUUCUGCCCACAGCUAGUUAAACCUUGCAUUUUCCACAAUUCAGACCUGAACAUGUGCUGCUGAGUACUGGCUGGCCCUUGGCCAAGCUGCUGCAUUGCCACACUGCAGUGAGGGUCUCCCCUAGAGCAGGGGAAGGAUAGGGGACACCACUGAGGGUAGGCUGCAGGGCCAAGGAUUGUAGCUCAUCUGCCAUCCCCCACUUCUGCACAUCUGGGUGACACAUCACAUUUACAGCACCACAGCCACCUGUCCCUGUGCCUGGUGCUCCUCAGGGUUGUUUAUGCUGGUGGAUGAGCAGCACAUUCAACUCCUUUGUCUAAAGGCAGAUUAAGAGACAUCCAAGGGGAGUCCUGUCCAUCACCCGGCUAGCAGCAGAUCUGCGAAGGACUAUGCAACUAUGCAGAGGAGCAGACUGAGCGCCCUUCUCCUGCCCUCCCCUGCCAGCACAAACUGCCUGCACGACCCAGACCUGUCACCGCUGCAGUGAGAGCAAGAGAUGUUCUCUCCCCAGACAUGGCCUGGAAAUGAUCAUCUAAGAGCCCUACUCCUCCUGCCUUGCACCAGCCCAAAUCAGAUCAGAACUGCACACUGCCAAUAUAAUAACCAGACAGAGACAUCUUCUGCUUUGUUCGGUAAUAAGAUGUACCCAAGGGACUAAUAAAGCAUGGUUUGGACACUAA